rnacentral:lncRNA from 1 species
UGCCGACUCUGCCUUACUCUUGAGGCAACAGAAAUAGCCCAGCUUAAAUCCUUGUAGAUAAAGAUUUCUCAGGUAGUCCCACAUAUAGUUAUGGGAUUGCAUGCAGGCUCAAAAGUUUCCUAUCAAUGCUUUUAAGUUCCAAAUUUUAAAGGACUUCAUUCAUGUUUAUGAAAAAUCAUGCACUAUGCCAAAGUCAGAUGUAUUUUCAGAUCCCUCCUCAUAAUCCUAUGACAAUAAGU